CCUACGGUGCGCAGCAGUGAGGAAUAUUGGUCAAUGGACGGAAGUCUGAACCAGCCAUGCCGCGUGCAGGAAGACGGCUCUAUGAGUUGUAAACUGCUUUUGUACAAGGGUAAACCUGAAUACGUGUAUUCAGCUGAAAGUACUGUACGAAUAAGGAUCGGCUAACUCCGUGCCAGCAGCCGCGGUAAUACGGAGGAUCCAAGCGUUAUCCGGAUUUGUUGGGUUUAAAGGGUGCGUAGGCGGAUUGAUAAGUUAGAGGUGAAAUGUCCGAGCUUAACUCGGGAACUGCCUCUAAUACUGUUGAUCUAGAGAGUAGAUGCGGUAGGCGGAAUGUAUGGUGUAGCGGUGAAAUGCUUAGAGAUCAUACAGAACACCGAUUGCGAAGGCAGCUUACCAAUCUAUAUCUGACGUUGAGGCACGAAAGCGUGGGGAGCAAACAGGAUUAGAUACCCGAGUAGUC
rnacentral:rRNA from 1 species